GAGCAAUCCUGGUGGCGAGUGGCGAACGGGUGAGUAAUACAUCGGAACGUGCCCAAUCGUGGGGGAUAACGCAGCGAAAGCUGUGCUAAUACCGCAUAAGAUCUACGGAUGAAAGCAGGGGAUCGCAAGACCUUGCGCGAAUGGAGCGGCCGAUGGCAGAUUAGGUAGUUGGUGGGGUAAAGGCUCACCAAGCCUUCGAUCUGUAGCUGGUCUGAGAGGACGACCAGCCACACUGGGACUGAGACACGGCCCAGACUCCUACGGGAGGCAGCAGUGGGGAAUUUUGGACAAUGGGCGAAAGCCUGANNCAGCCAUGCCGCGUGCAGGAUGAAGGCCUUCGGGUUGUAAACUGCUUUUGUACGGAACGAAAAGGCUCUUUCUAAUAAAGAGGGCUCAUGACGGUACCGUAAGAAUAAGCACCGGCUAACUACGUGCCAGCAGCCGCGGUAAUACGUAGGGUGCAAGCGUUAAUCGGAAUUACUGGGCGUAAAGCGUGCGCAGGCGGUUAUGUAAGACAGUUGUGAAAUCCCCGGGCUCAACCUGGGAACUGCAUCUGUGACUGCAUAGCUAGAGUACGGUAGAGGGGGAUGGAAUUCC
rnacentral:rRNA from 1 species